AGCGAACGCUGGCGGCAGGCCUAACACAUGCAAGUCGAACGGACCCUUCGGGGUUAGUGGCGGACGGGUGAGUAACACGUGGGAACGUGCCUUUAGGUUCGGAAUAGCUCCUGGAAACGGGUGGGAAUGCCGAACGUGCCCUUCGGGGGAAAGAUUUCUCGCCUUUAGAGCGGCCCGCGUCUGAUUAGCUAGUUGGUGAGGGAAUGGCUCACCAAGGCGACGAUCAGUAGCUGGUCCGAGAGGAUGACCAGCCACAUUGGGACUGAGACACGGCCCAAACUCCUACGGGAGGCAGCAGUGGGGAAUCUUGCGCAAUGGGCGAAAGCCUGACGCAGCCAUGCCGCGUGGAUGAUGAAGGUCUUAGGAUUGUAAAAUCCUUUCACCGGUGAAGAUAAUGACUGUAGCCGGAGAAGAAGCCCCGGCUAACUUCGUGCCAGCAGCCGCGGUAA
rnacentral:rRNA from 1 species